GACGAACGCUGGCGGCGUGCUUAACACAUGCAGGUCGAACGGAAAGGCCCUGCUUUUGUGGGGUGCUCGAGUGGCGAACGGGUGAGUAACACGUGAGUAACCUGCCCUUGACUUUGGGAUAACUUCAGGAAACUGGGGCUAAUACCGGAUAGGAACUCCUGCUGCAUGGUGGGGGUUGGAAAGUUUCGGCGGUUGGGGAUGGACUCGCGGCUUAUCAGCUUGUUGGUGGGGUAGUGGCUUACCAAGGCUUUGACGGGUAGCCGGCCUGAGAGGGUGACCGGCCACAUUGGGACUGAGAUACGGCCCAGACUCCUACGGGAGGCAGCAGUGGGGAAUAUUGCACAAUGGGCGGAAGCCUGAUGCAGCAACGCCGCGUGCGGGAUGACGGCCUUCGGGUUGUAAACCGCUUUCGCCUGUGACGAAGCGUGAGUGACGGUAAUGGGUAAAGAAGCACCGGCUAACUACG
rnacentral:rRNA from 1 species